GACGAACGCUGGCGGCGUGCUUAACACAUGCAAGUCGAACGAAAAGAGGGAAAGAGCUUGCUCUUUCCGGAAUUGAGUGGCAAACGGGUGAGUAACACGUAAACAACCUGCCUUCAGGAUGGGGACAACAGACGGAAACGACUGCUAAUACCGAAUAAGUUCCAAGAGCCGCAUGGCCCAUGGAAGAAAAGGUGGCCUCUACCUGUAAGCUAUCGCCUGAAGAGGGGUUUGCGUCUGAUUAGCUGGUUGGAGGGGUAACGGCCCACCAAGGCGACGAUCAGUAGCCGGUCUGAGAGGAUGAACGGCCACACUGGAACUGAGACACGGACCAGACUCCUACGGGAGGCAGCAGUGGGGAAUCUUCCGCAAUGGGCGAAAGCCUGACGGAGCAACGCCGCGUGAGUGAUGACGGCCUUCGGGUUGUAAAACUCUGUGAUCCGGGACGAAAAGGCAGAGUGCGAAGAACAAACUGCAUUGACGGUACCGGAAAAGCAAGCCACGGCUAACUACGUG
rnacentral:rRNA from 1 species